rnacentral:lncRNA from 1 species
CCCAGCUUGGCCACCGCCUUGCUGGGCGGGCUCUGAGCUCCAGGCUUCUCGGCUGAGAAAGAGGAUAUUCAGCGGGGGCUGUUGGAGGACAGAACCGGGGGAUGGCCUAACGCCCCGGGCCUGGGGCUCUGCAGGGCUGUGUGUCUGCCUUGGUUACAGGAGGAAUCAACUUUGUCAAGAACACUCUUAGACUCCCUGCCCUGGCCUGUGCCCUAGACCUGCCCGCCUGGAGCCUGCACCCAUGGCUUCUUCUCUGUCCACUCACAGGAUGGGGUUAACAUGGGAAACAAAAUAGCCAAGGUUCCUGAGCCCGCCUUGCAGAACAGCAGGAGGACGCUGAUAGAGAGGAACUUGCUGACAGCCCCCUGCCUGCCUAAGCACCUUACAGGAACAUCGAGGAGCUGAAAUGACUGACUGUAAACUUCAGAGGUCAAAGACUAAAAUCCACUAUGCGUGACGCGUAGAAGAGAC